rnacentral:rRNA from 1 species
CAUGCAAGUCGAACGAGAAUCUACUGAAAGAGUCUCCGGACAAUGGAUGUAGAGGAAAGUGGCGGACGGGUGAGUAACGCGUGAGGAACCUGCCUUGAAGAGGGGGACAACAGUUGGAAACGACUGCUAAUACCGCAUGACGCAUAGAGGUCGCAUGAUCUUUAUGCCAAAGAUUUAUCGCUUCAAGAUGGCCUCGCGUCUGAUUAGCUAGUUGGCGGGGUAAUGGCCCACCAAGGCGACGAUCAGUAGCCGGACUGAGAGGUUGAACGGCCACAUUGGGACUGAGAUACGGCCCAGACUCCUACGGGAGGCAGCAGUGGGGAAUAUUGGGCAAUGGGCGCAAGCCUGACCCAGCAACGCCGCGUGAAGGAAGAAGGCUUUCGGGUUGUAAACUUCUUUUAAGAGGGAAGAGCAGAAGACGGUACCUCUAGAAUAAGCCACGGCUAACUACGUGCCAGCAGCCGCGGUAAUACGUAGGUGGCAAGCGUUGUCCGGAUUUACUGGGUGUAAAGGGCGUGCAGCCGGGUCUGCAAGUCAGAUGUGAAAUCCAUGGGCUCAACCCAUGAACUGCAUUUGAAACUGUAGAUCUUGAGUGUCGGAGGGGCAAUCGGAAUUCCUAGUGUAGCGGUGAAAUGCGUAGAUAUUAGGAGGAACACCAGUGGCGAAGGCGGAUUGCUGGACGAUAACUGACGGUGGGGCGCGAAAGUGUGGGGAGCAAACAGGAUUAGAUACCCUGGUAGUCCACACUGUAAACGAUGAAUACUAG